rnacentral:rRNA from 1 species
UUCGGGACGCCGGCGAGUGGCGAACGGGUGAGUAACACGUGGAGACCUACCCUGGGGUGGGGGAUAACAACUGGAAACGGUUGCUAAUACCGCAUACGCCUUACGAGGGAAAGAUUUAUUGCCCCAGGAGGGUUCCGCGUCGGAUUAGCUCGUUGGUGGGGUAACGGCCUACCAAGGCGACGAUCCGUAGCUGGUCUUAGAGGAUGAUCAGCCACACUGGAACUGAGACACGGUCCAGACUCCUACGGGAGGCAGCAGUGGGGAAUAUUGCGCAAUGGGGGCAACCCUGACGCAGCGAUGCCGCGUGGGUGAAUAAGGCCUUAGGGUUGUAAAGCCCUUUCAGUGGGAACGAUGAUGACGGUACCCACAGAAGAAGCCCCGGCUAACUCCGUGCCAGCAGCCGCGGUAAUACGGAGGGGGCGAGCGUUGUUCGGAAUUAUUGGGCGUAAAGAGCGCGUAGGCGGCUUGUCAAG